GCAAGUCGAACGGUAACAGGAAUUAGCUUGCUCUUGCUGACGAGUGGCGAACGGGUGCGUAACGCGUAUGCAACCUACCUCUUAUUAAGGAAUAGCUCAGAGAAAUUUGAAUUAAUACCUUAUAAUAUCUUAAAGCCGCAUGGUUUAAAGAUUAAAGAAUUUCGAUAAGAGAUGGGCAUGCGUGAUAUUAGCUAGUUGGUAAGGUAACGGCUUACCAAGGCAACGAUAUCUAGGGGGUCUGAGAGGAUGAUC
rnacentral:rRNA from 1 species